AUUGAACGCUGGCGGCAGGCCUAACACAUGCAAGUCGAGCGGUAGCACAGAGAGCUUGCUCUCGGGUGACGAGCGGCGGACGGGUGAGUAAUGUCUGGGAAACUGCCUGAUGGAGGGGGAUAACUACUGGAAACGGUAGCUAAUACCGCAUAACGUCGCAAGACCAAAGUGGGGGACCUUCGGGCCUCAUGCCAUCAGAUGUGCCCAGAUGGGAUUAGCUAGUAGGUGGGGUAACGGCUCACCUAGGCGACGAUCCCUAGCUGGUCUGAGAGGAUGACCAGCCACACUGGAACUGAGACACGGUCCAGACUCCUACGGGAGGCAGCAGUGGGGAAUAUUGCACAAUGGGCGCAAGCCUGAUGCAGCCAUGCCGCGUGUGUGAAGAAGGCCUUCGGGUUGUAAAGCACUUUCAGCGGGGAGGAAGGCGUUAAGGUUAAUAACCUUGGCGAUUGACGUUACCCGCAGAAGAAGCACCGGCUAACUCCGUGCCAGCAGCCGCGGUAAUACGGAGGGUGCAAGCGUUAAUCGGAAUUACUGGGCGUAAAGCGCACGCAGGCGGUCUGUCAAGUCGGAUGUGAAAUCCCCGGGCUCAACCUGGGAACUGCAUUCGAAACUGGCAGGCUAGAGUCUUGUAGAGGGGGGUAGAAUUCCAGGUGUAGCGGUGAAAUGCGUAGAGAUCUGGAGGAAUACCGGUGGCGAAGGCGGCCCCCUGGACAAAGACUGACGCUCAGGUGCGAAAGCGUGGGGAGCAAACAGGAUUAGAUACCCUGGUAGUCCACGCCGUAAACGAUGUCGAUUUGGAGGUUGUGCCCUUGAGGCGUGGCUUCCGGAGCUAACGCGUUAAAUCGACCGCCUGGGGAGUACGGCCGCAAGGUUAAAACUCAAAUGAAUUGACGGGGGCCCGCACAAGCGGUGGAGCAUGUGGUUUAAUUCGAUGCAACGCGAAGAACCUUACCUGGUCUUGACAUCCACAGAACUUAGCAGAGAUGCUUUGGUGCCUUCGGGAACUGUGAGACAGGUGCUGCAUGGCUGUCGUCAGCUCGUGUUGUGAAAUGUUGGGUUAAGUCCCGCAACGAGCGCAACCCUUAUCCUUUGUUGCCAGCGGUCCGGCCGGGAACUCAAAGGAGACUGCCAGUGAUAAACUGGAGGGAGGUGGGGAUGACGUCAAGUCAUCAUGGCCCUUACGACCAGGGCUACACACGUGCUACAAUGGCAUAUACAAAGAGAAGCGACCUCGCGAGAGCAAGCGGACCUCAUAAAGUAUGUCGUAGUCCGGAUUGGAGUCUGCAACUCGACUCCAUGAAGUCGGAAUCGCUAGUAAUCGUAGAUCAGAAUGCUACGGUGAAUACGUUCCCGGGCCU
rnacentral:rRNA from 1 species